rnacentral:lncRNA from 1 species
ACCUUCUUCAUUGAAACUCAAGGUUCAUCAUCUUCACCACCAUUGUUCGUCACAUCAUACAACACCAAACACUUCUCUUACAUCAAAGCACCAAAACACAACCAUGAAACACCUUAAAACCUUCUUCAUCAAGAUAAACAACAAAAGCCAUCACAAUUCAUCAUCAUCUUCAUAGAAAUUUCACCACCAUCACCACCUUAUAUCAACCUCAUUCCAACCUCUAAACAACCUUGAAAACAUCCUCAAAACACCAUAACACCAUUACCUUAGCCAAAACAUCUCAAACAAAACUUACCUUCGAAUCACAAAAAUCCCGAAACUGAAUUUUGCGUGAACACGGCCCGUGUUCAGCAUGCCUUAUAUCAGACAUGACCCGUGUACCCUUCUGUUUUCCCCUGGUACAUCAACACAACCCAUGUUCAUCCAAGCCUAAAUCCAACAUGGCCCGUGUGCAGGAUCAUCACCAAGAAAACCUUCCAAAACCCUCCUAAACCUUCCUACACCACCCGUGUUACAUGUGCCUUAUCUUACACGACCCAUGUGCAUGUUUUUACCCAAAAAUACCUCAAAUACAAAUACAUAAACUCAUGUAUUUUUUACUUUUAUGUAAUCAAGUUGUUUUACAUAAAAACCGAGCUUUGAAUGAACUUUUUGUUACUUAUCAAAUACCGGAUUGAUUUUAGAACAAAUAUCGACCAGUCAUUCCAAGAGAAUAAAUAUCAACCAGUCUUUCUAUCAGUCCAGUUCAGUCAAUUUAUUGACAGGCCUACUUGAUAUAUGUUUAUAUACUUAUAUACUUUAUUAUAGCUUUAUGUCAUUUAUAUACAAUCAUUUAUAUUAUUUAUAGCUUUCAUUCAUUUAUAACUUUCAUAUUUAUACUUAUUCCACAAUUAUUAUUCUUUAUAUUUAUAUCUACGUCUUAUAUCUUAAACUNUAUCAACCUCAUUCCAACCUCUAAACAACCUUGAAAACAUCCUCAAAACACCAUAACACCAUUACCUUAGCCAAAACAUCUCAAACAAAACUUACCUUCGAAUCACAAAAAUCCCGAAAC